rnacentral:rRNA from 1 species
UACGUAGGGGGCAAGCGUUGUCCGGAAUUAUUGGGCGUAAAGAGCGCGUAGGCGGUCCGAUAAGUCGGCUGUGAAAGUCAGGGGCUCAACCCUUGGAAGCCGGCCGAUACUGUCGGACUAGAGUCCGGAAGAGGCGAGUGGAAUUCCCGGUGUAGCGGUGAAAUGCGCAGAUAUCGGGAGGAACACCAAUGGCGAAGGCAGCCCCCUGGGAUAACACUGACGCUCAUGCACGAAAGCGUGGGGAGCAAACAGG